UACGUAGGGGGCUAGCGUUGUCCGGAAUCAUUGGGCGUAAAGCGCGCGUAGGCGGCCAGAUAAGUCCGGUGUGAAAGUCACAGGCUCAACCUGUGAAUGCCGCUGGAAACUGUCUGGCUUGAGUCCGGAAGGGGCGAGUGGAACUCCUGGUGUAGCGGUGGAAUGCGCAGAUAUCAGGAAGAACACCGACGGCGAAGGCAGCUCGCUGGGACGGUACUGACGCUGAGGCGCGAAAGCGUGGGGAGCGAACAGG
rnacentral:rRNA from 1 species